rnacentral:rRNA from 1 species
UACGUAGGGGGCAAGCGUUGUCCGGAAUCAUUGGGCGUAAAGAGCGUGUAGGCGGCCCGAUAAGUCCGCUGUGAAAGUCCAGGGCUCAACCCUGGAAUGCCGGUGGAUACUGUCGGGCUCGAAUCCGGAAGAGGUGAGUGGAAUUCCUGGUGUAGCGGUGAAAUGCGCAGAUAUCAGGAGGAACCCCAAUGGCGAAGGCAGCUCACUGGGACGGUAUUGACGCUGAGACGCCAAAGCGUGGGGAGCAAACAGG